CCUACGGGAGGCAGCAGUGAGGAAUAUUGGUCAAUGGUCGGGAGACUGAACCAGCCAAGCCGCGUGAGGGAGGAAGGUACAGAGUAUCGUAAACCUCUUUUGUCAGGGAACAAAGACUGGGACGCGUCCCCGGAUGAGUGUACCUGAAGAAAAAGCAUCGGCUAACUCCGUGCCAGCAGCCGCGGUAAUACGGGGGAGGCGAGCGUUAUCCGGAUUUAUUGGGGUUAAAGGGUGCGCAGGCGGUUUGUUAAUUCAGCGGUCAAAGCCCGGGGCUCAACCCCGGCCGGCCGUUGAAACUGGCAGUCGCGAGUUGGAGAGAGGGAUGCGGAAUGCGCGGUGUAGCGGUGAAAUGCAUAGAUAUCGCGCAGAACUCCGAUUGCGAAGGCAGCAUGCCGGCUCCACACUGACGCUGAGGCACGAAAGCGUGGGUAUCGAACAGGAUUAGAUACCCCAGUAGUC
rnacentral:rRNA from 1 species